GCCCGCCUAGCUCAAUCGGAUAGAGCGUCAGACUUUUACGGCGGAGUUCAUAAUCUGACUUAGAAUUGGAAUCUGAAGGCUGCGAGUUCGACCCUCGCGGUGGGCU